rnacentral:rRNA from 1 species
UACGUAGGGACCAAGCAUUGUUCGGAUUUACUGGGCGUAAAGGGCGCGUAGGCGGCAAUUCAAGUCAUCUGUGAAAUCUCCGGGCUUAACUCGGAACGGUCAGAUGAUACUGCUUUGCUAGAGUGCGGAAGGGGCAAUCGGAAUUCUCGGUGUAGCGGUGAAAUGCGUAGAUAUCGAGAGGAACACCAGAGGUGAAGACGGGUUGCUGGGCCGACACUGACGCUGAGGCGCGAAAGCCAGGGGAGUAAACGGG